rnacentral:rRNA from 1 species
UACGUAGGGUGCUAGCGUUGUUCGGAAUUAUUGGGCGUAAAGCGCGUGUAGGUGGUUAAUUAAGUCGGGUGUGAAAUCCCUGGGCUCAACCGAGGAAGUGCAUCCGAAACUAAUUAGCUAGAGAGUGGUAGAGGAAGGUGGAAUUCCUAGUGUAGAGGUGAAAUUCGUAGAUAUUAGGAGGAAUACCGGUGGCGAAGGCGGCCUUCUGGACCAUUUCUGACACUGAGACGCGAAAGCGUGGGGAGCAAACAGG